rnacentral:lncRNA from 1 species
UCCGCCUAAGGUGCUACAAUAUAGGAAUAUUCACAUAUAAAUCAGACUAGAAAAUAGAAAUUGAAUGUGAAGUUCAAGGUUAAGAGUAUUUCAAUGAAUCACCUUCAGCUCCUCAUGUAGCACAACAAAUAUUUUCUUCAGUUGUUUAUUUCUCUGCAGUCAACAUCAUUAUAUCGAAUGAGAGCAUAUAAGUUCGUAAUAAGAAAUAGAUAAAAAGAAAAUGCUGCGAAUGCAUCAAUAAGAUAAUCUAAUUACAAAAUCCCUAGAACUAUGAUGAACCAAUAAUAUUUAAAGUGGAAAAAUAAAAUGAGGAAAUAAUGAAAGCAUGGAGUGAAGCAUAAACAAGUGAACACAGGGGAAGUUUGCACAAAAACCUGAAAGUCCCUAUUCCAUAACCCAUCUUUUUUUUUUUUAAUGUAAACAAACAUAUGUAAGAGAAUCAUAAUGGAGAUAGCAAUUGAAGUUCCAUGCUACGAAUGCAAUACUAUAAUCCUAACUCUGGAAUUCAACCUCGGCUUCAGAAAUAUCACAUUUACUUGCUAGGUAGAAAUUGAAGAAACCUCUUCUGCAAUUUCGGUUGUAACCACCUAUAUGACCAUCCCUUCAAUUUAUUCAUAAAUCAAUCUACCUUACCCUCCACAGAGCCUGCAACUGACACACUUGCCCAAAGUAAUUGUAGGCAGGGCCUUCACAUAUCAUACAUUCAAAAUAAUUUGGACUCAUACUUCCUGAAUUUAUCCCAACGAGAAACAAAAUCACAACAAAUAAAGAAAAGAACAAAAAAAAUCGAUUAACAAUCAUAUGAACAAAACACAGAAACAAAAAAUCAAUUAACAAUCAUAUGAACAAAACACAGAAAAGCAAAAUCAAUUAACAAUCAUAGGAACAAAAUAGACGCAGCAAAAUUUACCCAAAUAGACACAGCAGCAUCAUCACCAGUCGAUCAGAGCAGAGACGCACCACCACCGCCACACGGAGUUGAGACCCCAGCGGCAGCUUUCUCUCUCAAUGCAGCAGCCACCGUCGGUCCUCAAUUAUAGUAGCAACAGAGCAGAGAUGCAGAAACAACAACACAUAGAGCCAAGAUGCAGCAACAACUUUCUCUCUCAAUAUAGCAGCAGUAGCAACUUUCUCUUCAACGCAGCAACCCACUUUGCUUGAAGAAUUGUGAUGGAGAGAGAGUUGUGACCGUCAAUUUUGGAUGAAGAACAAGAGUAUUCACGAAGAGAGAGAGAGAGUUGUGGUGAUCAAUUGUGGAUGAAGAAGAAGAGCACUCACGGGAGAAAAGAGAGGGUUGUGAAUUUAGAUCUGGAUUAUCUUUUUUGUAUUCG